GACGAACGCUGGCGGCGUGCUUAACACAUGCAAGUCGAACGAAGAGCGACGGAAGCUUGCUUCUAUCAAUCUUAGUGGCGAACGGGUGAGUAACGCGUAAUCAACCUGCCCUUCAGAGGGGGACAACAGUUGGAAACGACUGCUAAUACCGCAUACGAUCUAACCUCGGCAUCGAGGAUAGAUGAAAGGUGGCCGCUACAUGUAAGCUAUCACUGAAGGAGGGGAUUGCGUCUGAUUAGCUAGUUGGAGGGGUAACGGCCCACCAAGGCGAUGAUCAGUAGCCGGUCUGAGAGGAUGAACGGCCACAUUGGGACUGAGACACGGCCCAGACUCCUACGGGAGGCAGCAGUGGGGAAUCUUCCGCAAUGGACGAAAGUCUGACGGAGCAACGCCGCGUGAGUGAUGACGGCCUUCGGGUUGUAAAGCUCUGUUAAUCGGGACGAAAGGCCUUCUUGCGAAUAGUGAGAAGGAUUGACGGUACCGGAAUAGAAAGCCACGGCUAACUACGUG
rnacentral:rRNA from 1 species